rnacentral:rRNA from 1 species
CGCCAGCAGAACUACUAGCAACAGCUUAAAACUCAAAGGACUUGGCGGUGCUUUAUAUCCCUCUAGAGGAGCCUGUUCUAUAAUCGAUAAACCCCGAUAAACCUCACCACUCCUUGC